rnacentral:rRNA from 1 species
GUGAAAGGCCAAUCAAACUUCGUGAUAGCUGGUUCUCUCCGAAAUAUAUUUAGGUAUAGCGUUGUGUCGUAAUAUAAGGGGGUAGAGCACUGAAUGGGCUAGGGCAUACACCAAUGUACCAAACCCUAUCAAACUCCGAAUACCUUAUAUGUAAUCACAGCAGUCAGGCGGCGAGUGAUAAAAUCCGUCGUCAAGAGGGAAACAACCCAGACUACCAGCUAAGGUCCCUAAAUCUUACUUAAGUGGAAAACGAUGUGAAGUUACUUAAACAACCAGGAGGUUGGCUUAGAAGCAGCCAUCCUUUAAAGAAAGCGUAAUAGCUCACUGGUCUAGUGAUUUUGCGCGGAAAAUAUAACGGGGCUAAAGUAA